rnacentral:lncRNA from 1 species
CCGGUUCCCCGUCCGGCGCACCGCAAGGGACGCGGGGCUCUGGGCGCGGGGGCGGCGGGGGCUCUGCGCUGGGCUGGGCUGGCCCGCUCCGGCGCCGGGGACCACGCGCGACUGGUUAGAUCUUGUCGUGAUCUCUGGAAAACUGUGACUAUCUCACAUGUCCUGCCCUGCUCGGAUCCCCUGCGCUAACGAGCCAGGCCCCCCUUGAUUGCUGAUUUUACGCUUUUUGGACCAAUUGUGGGUCUCCGGGGGCGGGGUUUUGACAGCUCAGGCCAAGCUCCGGCCGGGAGGGGGGGCCGGGGAGAAGGUGUCGGAAGCCUCAGCAGUAAGAAAACAUGUCAACAGAAUAAAAUAUUAACCAAUGACGGGCCAGCGGGCCCCGAGACCCCUCCCCCUGCCCCGGCCCCCACCUCGCAGCCCGCGCCUGAGGCUGCCUUCGCCGGGACUGGAAAGCGCGGCGGCCGACCCGACCCGCCGCCGAAAGGGCCUGAGGCGGGGGGCGCCUGGGUCCCAGGGCCCUGGGGAAGGACCCCCAGCCGCAAGCUGCCCCAAGUGCAAAGCAUUGACAGGGCCCCGAGAGGAGAGGGGGCGCCCUCCUUCUCCCGCGCUCGGCCGCCCAGCAGCUCUGGCGCGCGCCCCAGCUUGGCCUCCGACCCCGCACCCGGCCGCGGCGCGGCCCGGGCCCCUGCGCUCCGGAGGGAGGCUGCGGGUGCUGGAAAGAGAGGCCGGUGGGCGGGCGAGUCGGGAGGCGCCGGCUGCCGAGGUCCUGGACCGGAACCCAGGUGGCGGGAGCCGAGGAGCUGACACUCGUGUUUGACAGAGUGCUGUGCACCUGAAUUUACCUUGAGACCACUGGGCCACCGCACCAAUCGAUCCCAGACAGUGCCCUCUAUCCCUGAGCGGCCACCCCAGCUCCCCUCUGACUCCUCAAAAACCGUGAAGAUUUUUUUGUUCCUCCCUCACAUUGAGAGAAGGUCCACAGUCAUUUGCCUGUCGAGCAGGUAGCAGUGUAAGAAUCAGGGAGGUCACAUGUCUUCCUCAAGGUCACCUGCUCAGGCCACAAUUUAGAUGCAUGUUCUGAUGGCCUCCUGGGUGAUGCCAUCAUGGAGGUCUGCUGGGGCUGCUGGGAGUGAGGCGGAGAGCGCCCUGGGUGUUAUCUCUAGAGGAUAGGAGGCUGGCUGCUCCCGGGCCAGUGGGCAGUACGGUCCCCCACCCUGGGGCCCAGCUCUCACUUCCAGCUGAUUACAGGCUGGGGCAGGGUCUAUAACCUCUCCAAUUAGCCAGGGGCCAGGCCCAAGGCCUCUCUGAUAACCCCAGCUCCAGUGGCAGCCGCCAUGGGGCCAGCUUAUCUGGCCUCUCUUAUCCUCCCCCUUCCCCCACAUACUCAAAGAGUCGCCCUGGCUGCGAGCAGAUGAAUAACCAGAUUGUCCUGCAAGCUCAGCCGGCAAGUCCAGCCCUACACCCACCACUUUCCCUGACUGAAGGAGGCCACAGCUGUUUUGCACCCCCUGGAGGGUGAGGGCUGAGCCAGGGAGGACUCCUGACUCGAAGAUGCCAGCCGCUUCCCUGCGUGGUUGGAGGGCGCUCCGGGCUCUCCGUCUUGGUCCCAUCCACGUGCCCUUGGGUGGGUUCAGAGAGGCCUACCCCUGCCUGCCUCAAGCUCUGGACCCUUCCACAAGGAGCCAGGCCAUGGGCAGUGUGCAAAGGCAGACUGGUGGCAGCCCCCUCCCUCCCUGGCCCCCUUGGACGGAAACUCGGCUCGGGCUGGAGGUGGGGGCUGUGCCAGGCACCUCGAUGUCUCCAACUGAGCUGGAAGGGGAAGAGCUGCUGCUCAUCCGGCAGCCCCCACCGGGCCCGGGCCUCCCUCCAUUCCCAGCAUGCCUCACUCUGGCACGUGAUUCCUCACCCCACAGGUUCCCAGGCAGGAGGGACUGGCUUCAGCCACCCUCGCUUCAGAGCUGAGUGUGACUCAGGUCCCCCUUUGCCCAGCAUGCCCAAUGGGUCGGGGAGGGGCACUGGAGAGUACGUCUCUUCUCAGGCAUCAGGGUGGGAUGGGGUGCCCGUGCAGGGGGGUAGGGGCCCUGGAGCUGUCCCAGCUCGGGCUGGACGGCUGGAUGGGAAGCCCUGCUUGUUUGUGAACGUAACUCUUCUGUGGCUGUCACAUUAAACGUCACUCCAAACCACACCUGGCUCAGUGGGUUUCCUUCAAUCCUCCCCGGCCCUUCCCGAGUCUCAAGGAAGGCGAGACUGGGGCUCGCAUUCGUCUCCCAUCCUGCUUGACACCCCUCUGCUCCCCCUGCUCCUGUCUCCUUCCUACCAUUGGCUUUAGGUCCAGAAUUGGGAGGAGGGAGGGGAAACCCCUCAGGGAAUUGUCAUCCAAGGUGGCAGCCAGGUUUCGUGGGAGACCCGCCUUGGCCCCACCAGCCUUCCAUCUUCUGAGUUUGAAAAAAGAGACAAUGACAAGGUCCCUGUCCCAAACAUAAGCCCAGGGUCUUCCUCAGGCUCUCCUACCCACAGCAGCCCACCCGCGUGUGCCAAGGACCUGACUGCCACAGCCGGGGAGGGUCCGGACUGUGGUGCCCCCAGAACUCAAUGGUGACAGGCAAGCAGGUGGGAGAAUGGAUUUAAGUCAGGCUCCACCCUGAUUCCGAGUCCAGAAUAAACAUCCUCCUUCUCCCUCCUACCCCCCCCCA